GCUGGGAAGGCCAGGAGUGCCAUGAAUUCAUCCUUCCUUCCUUGGACGAUCACUGGAACCAGGAUGGGCCCCAGAGCCACAGAUCUGGAUCCACCCAACCCAGAGCCUCAAGCUCCUGCUAUGGGCCAGGAACCUGCUGUCUCCUGCUCUGCACAGUGGCUUCAGUCCAAGGGUAGCUACCCUGUUGGUGGCAAGAAGGCUGCCUGAAACACCUGGAGGAGCAUCACACAUCCCUACUUUUCUCCAGCAAGAGGAAGAGGCCUACAAGAAGAACAACCAGACCCAAGCCUCAGAUCCCACUGGGUACCAUGGCUGCCGUUUCUGGGAUCAUCUCCCUGCUCACGCUUCCCCUUCUCUGUUCUGGCCCUUUAGGAGAGUCCCUGGGUCUGACUGGGAGUCUCCCAGCCCUGUGGCUCUUUCCACUGAAGUGAGUGCCUGGCAGCUCAGGGGGCAAAAUCUCAGAGCUGUCCCUCUUCCUGCCCUACUUUGCACUCCCUCCCUCCCUGCACAGUGUCCACAUUAAUAAAGUCCCUUCCCCCACUCGACCUGGAGGACCUCAGGUGGGGUAGGCAGCCAACCCUCCCCACCAGAUUCUCUAUGCCCUGGUCUCAGACUCAUGGCUGAGCACCAAAAGGGCCUACUUACUCUCAUCUCCAGCCUGUGCAUAAGCUUUUUCCUCUAGGGCUUUCCUCCUGAAAGUCCUUCCCCAUCUGCCCAGCUAAUAUCAUGCAAACCUCAUCCUAGAUGUGCCCUCCUCCAGGAAGCCCUCCUUGAUCUUUCCUGUCAGGACCCCUCCUCUGGGGUGCCAUAAUACACUGGGAUUCCCUAGUACAAAAUUCUAGCUGUGCUCCUUUUACACUGACUGUGUAACUCUAGGCUAAUUACCUUACCCCUCUGUGCCUAAGUUUCUUCAUUUGUAAAAGAGUGCUUAUCUCAGAGUUGUUAUAAAGAUUACAUGACUUAAUACAGACAAAAUGCUCAAAAUAGUGCCUGGUACAUAGCAAACACUUGAUAACUCAUGUUCUUAUCACAUGAUAUUUGGAAUUGCCUGUUUAUCUGUCUCCCCCUCUAGGCUGCUAUGAACUUCUUGAACACUGUGGCUGGGUCAUGUCCUCUGAUGUUCAUUCAGGGCCUGGUACAUAUUUAAUAAUUCUCAAAAAAUUAUUGUCAAAUACAUGAAAUAUUAAUAGACAUUUCUUGAACAUUUGUAGAGCAUGUGAAGUAUCUAACUCUCUGGGUCAGACACUGAACUACUUUCUGCUUGUUAUUUCAUUUAAUCCUUGUGACGAGGGUUUGAGCUAGGAACUUGUAGUACCCCCAUUUCACAGAUGGGUAAACCUUCUGUCCUCUGACGCUGUUUUAUUUUUUCAUCAUAGCGCGUUGACUCCUGGCACUUUGUAUACUUAUUUGUAUGUUUGUAGUGGAGCCCAGCUCCCCACUAGAAAGGAAGUUCUGCGAGAGCAGAGACUAUUCAGCGGCAUUCCAAGGGCCUAGGA